CUACGGGGCGCUCCAGUAAGGAAUAUUGCGCAAUGGAGGCAACUCUGACGCAGCCAUGCCGCGUGCAGGAAGAAGGCCUUAUGGGUCGUAAACUGCUUUUAUUUAGGAAUAAACCCCCGAACGUGUCCGGGGCUGAAGGUACUAAACGAAUAAGCACCGGCUAACUCCGUGCCAGCAGCCGCGGUAAUACGGAGGGUGCAAGCGUUAUCCGGAUUUAUUGGGUUUAAAGGGUGCGCAGGCGGGCUAUUAAGUCAGUGGUGAAAUCCCGGGGCUCAACUCCGGAACUGCCAUUGAUACUGAUAGUCUUGAGUUUGGUUGAAGUGGGCGGAAUGUAGCAUGUAGCGGUGAAAUGCAUAGAUAUGCUACAGAACACCAAUCGCGAAGGCAGCUCACUAAGCCAAAACUGACGCUCACGCACGAAAGCGUGGGGAUCAAACAGGAUUAGAUACCCGAGUAGUC
rnacentral:rRNA from 1 species